rnacentral:rRNA from 1 species
CAUGUCCUUUUGAUUAUAAUAUAAGGUCUAAUCUGCUCAAUGAAAAUUAAAUAGCCGCAGUAUUUUGACUGUGCAAAGGUAGCAUAAUAAUUAGUUUCUUAAUUAGAAACUGGAAUGAAAGAUUGGACAAGAAAAUAUCUGUCUCUUUUUUAAUAUUUUUGAAUUUUAUUUUUAAGUGAAAAAGCUUAGAUUUUUAUAUAAGACGAGAAGACCCUAUAGAGUUUAAUAUCUUUAUUUAAUUAGUUAUUAGAAUAGUUUUUUAGAUAAAUGUAUUUGAUUGGGGUGAUUUAAAGAUUUAUUUAAUUCUUUAAAGUUUUAAUUGAUGAUUAUUAAAUUUUAAAUCUAUAUUUUAUAAAAUUAAAAUAAAUUACCUUAGGGAUAACAGCGUAAUUUUUCUUUAAAGCUCUUAUUAAAAGGAAAGUUUGCGACCUCGAUGUUGGAUUAAAAUUAAUUUUUGGUGCAGUAACUAAAAAAUUAGGUCUGUUCGACCUUUAAAAUUUUACAUGAUCUGAGUUUAGACCGGUGUAAACCAGGUUGGAUUCUAUCUUUAGAAAUAUAAUAUAUUUUAGUACGAAAGGACCAAAUAUAUAUUAAAUUAAUUG